AGAGUUUGAUCCUGGCUCAGAUUGAACGCUGGCGGCAUGCCUUACACAUGCAAGUCGAACGGCAGCACGGGAGCAAUCCUGGUGGCGAGUGGCGAACGGGUGAGUAAUAUAUCGGGACGUGCCCAGUCGUGGGGGAUAACGUAGAGAAAUUUACGCUAAUACCGCAUACGAUCUAAGGAUGAAAGCGGGGGAUCGCAAGACCUCGCGCGAUUGGAGCGGCUGAUAUCAGAUUAGGUUGUUGGUGAGGUAAAAGCUCACCAAGCCGACGAUCUGUAGCUGGUUUGAGAGAACGACCAGCCACACUGGGACUGAGACACGGCCCAGACUCCUACGGGAGGCAGCAGUGGGGAAUUUUGGACAAUGGGCGAAAGCCUGAUCCAGCAAUGCCGCGUGCAGGAAGAAGGCCUUCGGGUUGUAAACUGCUUUUGUACGGAACGAAACGGUCUGCCCUAAUACGGUGGGCUAAUGACGGUACCGUAAGAAUAAGCACCGGCUAACUACGUGCCAGCAGCCGGG
rnacentral:rRNA from 1 species